UAUGGCCAUAUCAUCUUAAAACACUGGUUCUCACACGAUCACCUAAGUUAAGCUUUAUCAAGCCUGGUCAGUACUGAGAUGAGUGACCUCUUGAGAAUACAAGUUGUUGUAA